rnacentral:lncRNA from 1 species
CAAACCUCUGCUGGGGUUCUGGCCAAUAUGUUAUUUAUCCAUGAAUUUAUUUCCACUUGAGUUACUAUUUUGUUUCAUAAUUGGCAUGACUUACUUAUGUUUAUGGUUAUGUGAAGCAUAAAUUGAAAUAUACAUAUAUAUAUAUGCUUAUAUUCUAUUUCUAGGAAAAUUAUACAUGUUUUACGGCGAGGGGUUAGAGCAUUUGAUAAUGAAAUGGUUUUGAAAAGCUUUAUUUUUGCCCACUCACGUUUUCUGUUUAACACCCUUCCAGGUUUUAGGUAAGCUUGAUCGUUGGUGGCUCACGAGGAUUGAACGGAGGUUCUGACAAACUAUCACCAUGUAGGACAUCUUUAGGUGUCGUCUAAUUAGUACUUGUUUCCCG